rnacentral:rRNA from 1 species
UAGGCGUAAAUGAUGCGAGUUAAGUGUGGGGGCAUCUACGAGAUGGCCCUGUGCUGUAGGGUAGCCGUUAAACUCGCUGCCUGGGGAGUACAGUCGCAAGGCUGAAACUUAAAGGAAUUGGCGGGGGAGCACAACAACGGGUGGAGCUUGCGGUUUAAUUGGAUUCAACGCCGGAAAUCUUACCGGGACCGACAGCAACAUGAAGGCCAGGCUGAAGACUUUGCCGGAUUAGCUGAGAGGAGGUGCAUGGCGUAG